rnacentral:rRNA from 1 species
ACGAACGCUGGCGGCGUGCUUAACACAUGCAAGUCGAACGGAAAGGCCCUGCUUUUGUGGGGUGCUCGAGUGGCGAACGGGUGAGUAACACGUGAGUAACCUGCCCUUGGCUUUGGGAUAACUUCAGGAAACUGGGGCUAAUACCGGAUAGGAGCUCCUGCUGCAUGGUGGGGGUUGGAAAGUUUUGGCGGUUGGGGAUGGACUCGCGGCUUAUCAGCUUGUUGGUGGGGUAGUGGCUUACCAAGGCUUUGACGGGUAGCCGGCCUGAGAGGGUGACCGGCCACAUUGGGACUGAGAUACGGCCCAGACUCCUACGGGAGGCAGCAGUGGGGAAUAUUGCACAAUGGGCGGAAGCCUGAUGCAGCAACGCCGCGUGCGGGAUGACGGCCUUCGGGUUGUAAACCGCUUUCGCCUGUGACGAAGCGUGAGUGACGGUAAUGGGUAAAGAAGCACCGGCUAACUACGUG